UUUUCACACAAUAUGUCACUCACAAACAGAUCUUGUCUUUUUUUUUCAAUCUCAGCAGCUUCAUCAUCUCCUCUUCUGGUCACUGGUGUGUUAUUGAGUGUUUGCCUGUUGAUCUUCAUCUCACUGGUGCUGCUGUGGAGAUACAAGAAGAACAAAGAUCAGCAGCGUAACAUUAACCAGACAUCAGACCCAAAUCAAUCUGCAGAAUCUCAAACAGAAAACUCUCCUCUACAGUCUGGUUCUGAUCACAUUUAUGAAGUUGUGACUGAAAUAAAUAAAAGAGACAAAGAUGAUCCGAAGCCAUUGGCAGAUGUCACAUAUUCAGAGGUCACUGUUAUGAAAAAAAAA